rnacentral:rRNA from 1 species
AGACCCGAAACCCGGUGAUCUAGCCAUGGGCAGGUUGAAGGUUGGGUAACACUAACUGGAGGACCGAACCGACUAAUGUUGAAAAAUUAGCGGAUGACCUGUGGCUGGGGGUGAAAGGCCAAUCAAACCGGGAGAUAGCUGGUUCUCCCCGAAAGCUAUUUAGGUAGCGCCUCGUGAAUUCAUCUCCGGGGGUAGAGCACUGUUUCGGCUAGGGGGCCAUCCCGGCUUACCAACCCGAUGCAAACUGCGAAUACCGGAGAAUGUUAUCACGGGAGACACACGGCGGGUGCUAACGUCCGUCGUGAAGAGGGAAACAACCCAGACCGCCAGCUAAGGUCCCAAAGUCAUGGUUAAGUGGGAAACGAUGUGGGAAGGCCCAGACAGCCAGGAUGUUGGCUUAGAAGCAGCCAUCAUUUAAAGAAAGCGUAAUAGCUCACUGGUCGAGUCGGCCUGCGCGGAAGAUGUAACGGGGCUAAACCAUGCACCGAAGCUGCGGCAGCGACACUAUGUGUUGUUGGGUAGGGGAGCGUUCUGUAAGCCUGUGAAGGUGUGUCGUGAGGCAUGCUGGAGGUAUCAGAAGUGCGAAUGCUGACAUAAGUAACGAUAAAGCGGGUGAAAAGCCCGCUCGCCGGAAGACCAAGGGUUCCUGUCCAACGUUAAUCGGGGCAGGGUGAGUCGACCCCUAAGGCGAGGCCGAAAGGCGUAGUCGAUGGGAAACAGGUUAAUAUUCCUGUACUUGGUGUUACUGCGAAGGGGGGACGGAGAAGGCUAUGUUGGCCGGGCGACGGUUGUCCCGGUUUAAGCGUGUAGGUGUGUGUUCCAGGUAAAUCCGGUUCACUUUAACACUGAGGCGUGAUGACGAGGCACUACGGUGCUGAAGCAACAAAUGCCCUGCUUCCAGGAAAAGCCUCUAAGCAUCAGGUAACAUCAAAUCGUACCCCAAACCGACACAGGUGGUCAGGUAGAGAAUACCAAGGCGCUUGAGAGAACUCGGGUGAAGGAACUAGGCAAAAUGGUGCCGUAACUUCGGGAGAAGGCACGCUGACACGUAGGUGAAGUGAUUUACUCACGGAGCUGAAGUCAGUCGAAGAUACCAGCUGGCUGCAACUGUUUAUUAAAAACACAGCACUGUGCAAACACGAAAGUGGACGUAUACGGUGUGACGCCUGCCCGGUGCCGGAAGGUUAAUUGAUGGGGUCAGCGCAAGCGAAGCUCCUGAUCGAAGCCCCGGUAAACGGCGGCCGUAACUAUAACGGUCCUAAGGUAGCGAAAUUCCUUGUCGGGUAAGUUCCGACCUGCACGAAUGGCGUAAUGAUGGCCAGGCUGUCUCCACCCGAGACUCAGUGAAAUUGAACUCGCUGUGAAGAUGCAGUGUACCCGCGGCAAGACGGAAAGACCCCGUGAACCUUUACUAUAGCUUGACACUGAACAUUGAGCCUUGAUGUGUAG